GGAGGGGUGCAAGAGUGGCUGAAUUGGCCAGCCCGGAAAGCUGGUGUACCGGCAACGGUACCGUGGGUUCGAAUCCCACCCCCUCCGCCA
rnacentral:tRNA from 1 species